GUGGAUCCCUUUAAGAAACCUACAUGAGCCUAUAAUCGAUAUAAAUAACUUUACAAUAAACGAGAGAAAUUUAGAGUUUUGUUAAUUAUUUAUACAUUUUGUAAUAUAGGCUUAUGUUUAUUAUAGCACAAGUAAUCACCACGUAAGAUCACUACUAUUAUGUGUAUAGCUGUGCCCAUGUGAUAAUUAUUUUUUCAGCUCGAUAAUUAGUACAGCUUUGAAUUGCAUCAGUGCUUUAUUGAUGUCGAUGACAGUCUUCGUUUGUGCUGGGGCCAUAUUCUCACCGAAUACAAUAUAAGGAAUGUAGACUCUUGUUUCCACACACUCGAUCGCAUAUUCAACAAUGAGUCGAGAGUAACUGAAGCAGGAAAAGUAGGGAGAGGCUAUGACGUGAUGCUGAAGAAUAUCUUGAUGGCUGAAAUUAUGCCUAUAGUGGAGGAAUUUGACCAGCAGAAAAAUAAUGGUCACAGGUUUAUCUAAUUACCAUUCUUCAGCAACCAAGUAAUAACUGUGUUUGUUUGGGACCAGACCUGUGACAAUUCUUGAGGCCAUAACUGGUGAGGAUUCACCCUGAGACCGAAUAGUAAAUAUUUCCUUUCAGCCAUGAUCUAUUGGAAAUAGUAAACGUGUAGACCCUUAUCCGUGAACUCCAACAAUACUUAGAUUACAAAGGGAAGACCUAGAGACUUGCAUAAUGUGUACUGUGAAAACUGAUAUGUAGGCUUACAACUGUGAAAUGAUUGUCUA
ensembl:lncRNA